AAAAAGUUAUUGAAAAUGUGACUGUUUUAUUUCAACUUAUACAAGCGCCAUCUAGGUAAAAGUACAUGAAUAGCGUCAAACUAAAUCCGCCAUCUUGUGGUCAUAUUGCGUAUUAACAAAAACAUUUCAUGAGAUCCCGAUAGAGGGAGCUUACUAUCGUUCAUUCAAAAGUUCGUUGUUUUUACGAGGGGUUCCAAGUUUGUGUUAUGUGCGUGCCGGUGCCCGCUCUUCGCUAGCUUAGUUUGCUUUUGCCAUCGGUGUGCGUGAGACGAUUGUGUUUUGGUGCAGUGGCAGUUUGAAAUUCGCGGAUAACUUAUUUUUCACUUACUUUUAUGUGUGGUAUGUUUGUGAAUGAUAAAGUGUUGUGUUUUUUGUGUGUGUAAAUAAAAUUGGAGCGGGGAAUUCUUGGAGGCUGUUACUUCUAUAACUUCGAUUGUGCAUCAAUAAUAUUCAACCGUGUUCGUCAAACGCACUCCGCAUAUCUAAGAUCGUCACACCUUCUCGGGUCACCACGACUAAAUUAUUACCACAGACUUCAAAGGCGAAGAUCGGAGUACUAAAAGAUGGACAACCUAAGCGGUAGGUGGACGCGGCGGCAUCGCUGUAGGUGAACUGCGAGCAUCAUGGCGAGGGCGUGGUGUGUGGUGGUCGCCGUGUUGAUGACCACGGUGUUGGCGACCACGCGCGCUUACCUCAUCAUCCUCCCCGACACGGCGCCGCCCGGUCACGUGGUCCUCGACGCCGCCGUCUACAAGCUCGGCUCCGAACGCAACUACAACAUCGAUGUCCACCGAACAGCUAACUUCGUCCAUCACAUCCUUAGGGUCAACAGAACCAGCGGUCUCGUUACCCUUAGGAAGAGGCUAAGAUGCGACGGAGUACUCUAUCCUAAUCUCUUCACUUUCUACGUCGAUUCGACAUCGGAACGCAUCCGCGACAUCGACUACUACAGCCUCCCCAUCAGAAUCUUGGUCACCGGUGAGGACUGCAGUCGGAGACACGCGGACCUUUACGAUAUAGACUUCGAUCGCGUCUAUGACCAAAAUGAUGCCGCCCUGCAGUAUGAAGAGGAGCCCAUCAGAGACAAACGGGAAGUAAUAUAUCAAGAGAGUAUAGACUGGAGAUUGUUAGAAGAAGAGGAAUUAGGCUCUAGUCAAUAUAAUGUCUUAUCCACGGCUUAUCCGUGGUCGAACGUUAUGUUCGAAGAUUUCGUAGCGAGAAAUAAAAGUAGGAAGAGGCGAUCUCACGGCCCGAUCCCCUUUGAUAUGGCCAUAGAUGUAAAAAUAGCUGAAGCGAAGCAAUGGAUAUCAGAAACGUACGCUAGUUUCGCUAUCCCGACUACGGAUCGAUGGCAAGGGAUUUGUCUGAAGCAAUCGCAGUUUGUGAAUUCCCUUACAGCUUUCCUACCGAGGACGGUUCAAAAGAUGUGUAAAGUGCAGUUUUUGGAUGUGAGUGAUCCGAGAUUCGUAAUAGAAACAAGUCAAGGUGAUUUAGUGGCCAGUGCAGACCUGUGCAUCCAAGAACCUAUGUGGAAAGUUUCAAUACUGUUUACGUUUAACUGCGAUAAGAUCAACAUUGUAGAUUCGGAUCAUAGGCUGAAGAUAGUGUAUCAUCAUCAAGAGCUGAAUGAUACGGAUAUUGCGAGGCGGGUGAAGAGGGAGCUGCGGAACCAGUCUCCGUACUUCGAGCAGGCGCUGUACGUGGCUUCUGUGGCUGAGGAGCAGCAACCAGGCGUUGUUGUCACGACUGUUAGAGCUCGGGAUCCAGAAAACAGCCCAGUAACCUACUCCAUGUCGAGUCUGCUAGACUCGCGGUCUGCGGGCAUGUUCGCUGUGGACUCCAGAUCAGGGGUGGUCACUACCCAGGCACGGUUGGACAGGGAACGACUCGACGUGCACUACUUCAGAGUCGUGGCUCAAGACGAUACCUUCCCACCGAGAAGUGGAACUACUACACUACAGAUCAACGUAUUAGACUGCAACGACCAUUCGCCCGUGUUCGAGAUGCAACAAUACGAGUCAUCAGUCCGAGAGGGAGCCAGUCCAGGGACCACAGUCCUCACUCUCAAGGCCACAGACCAGGAUAUCGGGAAAAAUGCUGAGGUCGAAUACUCAAUAGAGUCAGUAACAGCUGAGACCUUAAGCUCUGAAGAUACGAACGAGUCCAUCGACAACACGGAACAGGUCGACAGUCAAGAUGUCUUCCGGAUCGACGGCAGGAGUGGCGCCUUGCUUACAAGAGCACCGCUGGAUAGGGAGAAGGUGGCCCGGUACACUGUCAUCGUGAAGGCCACUGACCAAGCCAGUCCUGUGUCCGACAGACUCUCCAGCUCCGCCACAGUCCACGUGAACAUAAUGGACGAUAAUGACAACUACCCUCAGUUCAGCGAGAAGACCUACACGGUGACCGUUGAUGAGGACAUCUCCGUCAACGAUAACCCGAUCAUUGCCAGGAUCAAGGCCACGGACGCGGACGUCGGCGCUAAUGCAGCAAUACGUUACGCGAUCAUCGGAGGGAACACACAGAUGCAGUUCUCAAUAGAUAGCUUAAGCGGAGAUGUAUCCUUAGUGAAACCGCUAGAUUACGAACAAGUCAGGAGCUAUCGACUGGUGAUUAGAGCUCAAGAUGGAGGCAGUCCAUCCAGGUCCAACACAACCCAGCUGCUGGUAAACGUGAAGGAUGUGAACGACAACGCGCCCAGGUUCUACACCUCACUGUUUCAGGAGUCCGUCAGCGAAAAUGUUCCCGUCGGAUAUAGUAUUGUCAGGGUACAAGCAUACGACGCUGACGAAGGCGUGAACGCUGAGAUAACAUACACUCUAUCAGACAAGGAGUACAAUAACAACAAUGACCUUCCAAUCAGCAUCGACCCUCGCUCAGGCUGGGUGUACACGUCCGGACAACUGGACAGGGAGGUGCAAGCGAAGUAUCAGCUGAUGGUGACAGCAACCGACGGUGGCAGUCCACCUCGUUCAGCGACCGCCUCUGUCGCAGUAGUAGUCCAGGAUGUGAACGACAACGACCCGGUGUUCUCACCGCCGCAGUACGAGGUGGAACUGGCUGAAGAUGAGCCCCCGGGCACGCCGGUCGUGACGCUCACUGCUACUGACGCCGAUGAGGAUAAUAGACUGCACUACGAGAUAACAGGGGGCAACACUCGCGGCCGCUUCUCAAUCACAUCACAGAACGGUCGCGGGCUCAUCACUGUAGCACAGCCACUAGACUUCAAGCAAGAGAAGAGAUACGUGUUAACAGUGACGGCGACGGACAGCGGUGGGCGAAGUGACACCGCGAUGGUGCACAUCAAUAUUACUGAUGCUAAUAACUACGCGCCUGUCUUUGAAAAUGCUCCGUAUACUGCUUCGGUGUUUGAAGAUGCCCCAGUAGGCACAACAGUGCUUGUGGUCUCAGCGACGGACAGUGAUGUCGGCAUCAAUGCGCAGAUCACCUACAGUCUAAGUUCGGAGAUAUCCAAUGAGGCGGUGGCCCACCACGAUCAGGAGUUCAUCAUCAACCCGCAAACUGGCGCCAUCACCACUAAUAAGUUGCUGGAUAGAGAGUCUAUGAGUGGGUACCUACUAACAGUAACAGCGAGAGAUGGUGGUGUACCAUCUUUGUCAGAUACAACUGAUGUUGAGAUAUCAGUUGUGGACGUCAAUGAUAACGCGCCUGUGUUCAAACAACAGUUGUAUACCGCUACUAUAAUGGAGGAUGCUUUAGUUGGUACCUCAGUUACCCAAGUGAGUGCAACGGACGCGGAUGUGGGCCUCAACGGUCGAGUGCACUAUGAGCUGGAGACUAGAGACCGUGAGGAGGGAUCAUUCGUGGUAGACCCCGCUUCUGGGGUCAUUAGGACUAACAAGGCAUUGGACAGAGAGUCCGUCGCGACUUACGAUUUGAAGGCGCUGGCAAUUGAUGGGGGAACCCCACCGUUAAGUUCUACGGUAAUCGUCCAUAUAAAAGUGGAAGACAUCAACGACUCGCCUCCUGUGUUCGAGAGUGACUGCCUCACGUUCUACAUUCCUGAGAACAGCCCGAUCGGCACCACGGUCGGGGAGAUAUACGCACACGAUCCGGAUGAGGGCGCUAAUGCGGUCGUACACUAUUCUAUCAAGGGUGGCGACGACUCCAACAGUUUCUCCCUUGAAACCCGUCAAGGCUCUGACAAAGCUGAACUGGUCACCAUGGUAGACCUAGACUAUGAAAGUCCUCGCAAGAAGUACGAGCUGGUGAUCCGCGCCGCUAGCCCGCCACUAUGGAAUGACGUCAGAGUGGAGAUACUGGUGACGGAUGUGAAUGACAACGCGCCCAUGAUGAAAGACUUCCAGAUUAUCUUCAACAAUUAUAAGGAUUGCUUCCCUGUUGGGCCUUUUGGGAGGGUCCCGGCUUAUGAUGCUGAUGUUACUGAUAAGCUCCAAUACCGCAUUCUGUCCGGCAACAACGCCAACCUGGUACUACUUAACGAAACCACCGGAGAAAUGACUCUAUCACCUCAAUUAAACACGAACGUACCUAAGUUGGCUACCAUGGAGAUUUCAGUCACAGAUGGCGUUAACGAAGUGAAAGCGAUGAUGCAGCUAUCCGUGCGUCUGAUCACCGAGGAGAUGUUGUUCAACUCCAUAACUGUGCGACUUAAUGACAUGACAGCUGAGCAGUUCCUGUCACCCUUGCUGGGCUUCUUCAUAGAUGGGUUGGCAGCCAUCAUACCGUGUCCCAAGGAGAAUAUAUAUGUCUUUAGUGUGCAGGACGACACAGACGUAACUGGUAACAUCUUGAACGUAUCGUUCUCUGCUCGCCGGCCCGACGCGGAGGUAGCCUCGGGCGCGCUCACAUACUACUCGCCGACACAUCUCAGAGAAAAGGUCUAUCUACAUCGCGCUACCUUAGCCAGACUUGCUACUGUACAGGUCCUACCUUUUGACGACAACAUCUGUGUCCACGAACCGUGCCUGAACUACGAGGAGUGUCUCACAGUACUAAAGUUCGGGAACGCUUCUGGCUUCAUCAACAGCGACUCCGUACUCUUCAGACCUAUAUACCCUGUUACUACGUUCACUUGUCAAUGUCCACAUGGAUUUACAGGUUCUCGAGAACAUUACAUGUGCGAUACCGAGGUGGACUUGUGUUAUUCGUCGCCGUGUGUCAACAACGGCACGUGCGUGCGUCGUGAGGGAGGAUAUACAUGCGUCUGCGCAGCGGGAUACACAGGAGUGAACUGCGAGACAGUCCUAACUUCAGCGACUUGUUCUUCACAAUCGGCUGUAUGUCGUAGUGGGUCGCAAUGUGUGUCUGUCCGUGAAGGCGGGUUCGUCUGUCAAGGAUGUGCUAUAGACGCCGACCAUACUACAGCACUCUGCGAGUUGAGGGCACGAAGCUUUCCAAGUUCCAGUUUCUUAACCUUCCCGGGAUUGAAGAGGAGGAAUAGACUGCAUUUGAAGCUUAAAUUCGCGACCCAGUCACCAAACGGUCUACUUCUCUACAACGGCCGCUACAACGAGCGUCACGACUUCCUCGCGCUGGAGACAGUCAGUGCGGGCGCGGGGGGCGCUGGCGGGGGUGCGGGGGGCGCGGGCGUCAGGUUCACGUUCGGUCUCGGCGGCGGAAAGGUCGACGUCACUGUCGCUGGGAACGUGGCUGAUGGAAACUGGCAUACAGUGGAGAUCGACUAUUAUAACAGAACGGCGACAUUGAUACUGGAUGACUGCGACAAAUCGUUAUCACUAGCGGGGGCGGCGGACUUCGGCGUCAAGUACGCAUGCGCUAACUUCUCCAGGAAAGUGCUGCCACCUAGAUGUGAUAUACCCACUGAGACUUGCCACAGAUUCCUAGACCUAACAGGUCCACUCCAGAUCGGCGGCUUACCAAACAUACCAAGCAGCUUCCAAGUCAAGAACAAAGACUUUGUCGGGUGCAUAUCAGACCUAUACAUAGACCACAAGUUUGUGGACCUGAAUGGGUUUGUAGCUGAUAACGGCACGUUGGCGGGCUGUCCAGAGAAGCGGUCUCAAUGUAGCUCUGCCCCUUGUUAUAACGGGGCCGAGUGUAGAGACCUGUGGGAUACGUACUUGUGUGAUUGUGCUGAAGGCUAUACUGGGAAGGAUUGUGCUGAUUCAUCAUCACCUCCGUGGCGGUUCAGUGGUGACGGCAUGUUGUCCUUCAACCCGCUCUUACGACCGAUACAGUUACCGUGGCUGAAUGCCCUGUCGCUACGGACCAGGCAGCAAGACUCCUUCCUCAUGUCCAUACAAGUUGGACAGAAUAGCAGUAUAUUGAUAACGCUAAAAUCCGGCCACCUUCACUACGCAUACAACGGAGAAUCUAUGUUCCUACCCACAACAAUUUUAUCUGACGGAGAAUGGCACCGCAUUGAGAUCAAGUGGCUUGGUACCGAUAUAUCGGUCAGCGUGGACUAUGGACUGAGGACUGUGUUACUGCCGAUGUUAGCCAAUAAGAUACAAGGACAGUAUAUAGGGAAGAUCUUGAUUGGCGGGCCUGAUACCACUGCAGGGCUUUUGGCGUCUGAAGUUGGGUAUUUCGAAGGCUGUAUUCAGGAUGUGAGAGUGGGUACAGCUCAAUCUCUUCUCAACCGGCCGACAGUGAGAGAGAACGUUCGUGAUGGAUGUCAGUCACGCGCUGACUGUAUGCUUUCUAUCUGUCCACCAUUUAGUACCUGCGUGUCAUCGUGGGAUUAUACAGAAUGCGAGUGCUCCCGCGGUCGCGUAGGCCCUCAGUGUAUACCCGCCUGUGACCUACGUCCGUGCGGGCCGCACGCCGCCUGCAGCCAGGACGACUCGGAGAGGGGGUACACGUGUACCUGCGAUGAUGGAUAUAUGAUGACUGCGGAUGGUUGUGCCCCUGCCGCGCGCGAGUCGUGUCCGGGCGGGUGGUGGGGCGCGGCGGGCGGCGCGUGCGGGCCCUGCCACUGCGCGCCCGCCAGGGGGCUGCACCCACACUGCCACGCGACUACCGGACUUUGCCACUGCAAGGAAAACCACUAUAAGCCCGAAGGUUCAGAAGACUGCCUCCCCUGCCAGUGCUACGCUGCCGGUUCUCUCAACAGCUCUUGUGAGAUCAGUACUGGCCAGUGUUACUGCAGGUCAGGGGUCAUAGGCCGCGCCUGUGACUCCUGCGCCAAUCUCUAUGCUGAGGUCGCUCCUAAUACUGGAUGUGAAGUUGUCUACGACGGAUGUCCUCGUUCUUUCACUCACGCCGUCUGGUGGCCGCGAACCAAGUUUGGAAUUGAAGCUGUCAGCGAUUGUCCUGCCGGAACAAGUGGUAAAGCAACUCGAAUGUGUGACGAAACUCAAGUGGUACCGUGGCAGGAACCUGACAUGUUCAAUUGUACCACAUCAACAUUCUACCAGUUAAGGAAACAGCUCGGCAAAAUCGAAACGGGCGAGUUAUCGGUAAACACGUUCGUUGGUGUCCGUUUGGCCGCCGACCUCGCCUCCGCCUGCGCUAACACGGUCAGGUUGUAUGGAGCUGAUGUAUUAGUCGCAGAGGGGAUCCUAUUGGAGUUGCUACAGUAUGAAAUGCGACAAGCUGGGCUGAAUCUUACGCAUAGCCAGGAUAAGGAUUAUGUGCGGAACGUAAUAAAAUCAGCUAACACAAUACUAGACCCGGAGUACACGAAGGAAUGGCAUCGCAUCAGAGAGUUGACUGGACACGGCAUGGAGUUACUCCUGCAACGGUUCGACAAGUACAUUGCAGUGCUCGCCGAGAGCCAACACGAUACUUACACCAGUCCCUUUGAAAUUGUUACUAGUGAUUUAGUGAUCGGCGUAGACAUCGUAACAGCUGAAUCCAUAUACGGGUUCGAACCGACCCAAUUAAACCGUUACAAUCUCGAAUCGUACACAACUGAACGAGUCAUUCUACCUGACACGUCAUCAUUCAUUCACUCUCCGAUCCAAACGCCGAUAUAUCAUUCGAAUGGGAAGAUUAACAAGCAUAGGAAACCGUCAAGUCCUACGGUAUCAUUCCCGAAGUAUAAUAAUUAUGUGAAGAGUAAAAAUAAGUUUGAUAAGUAUACAAGAGUGUUACUGCCCUUGGAUCUGCUUGGAAUUACUAAUAGUAAUAUACAAGAAAACCUAGAGACCAACUACGAAUCCCGCGCGGUAUUCUCCUACCUACAAUACUCCCGGAACACCUCCCAGUUGAUGCCACUGCGUCUUGACGAGUCCGUGAGCCAGCGCUGGGGGGUCAACAUCACUGUCGGCUCUCCUAUACUACAGCUAGCCUUGUUCGUACCUGAGUACGUGUGGAUGAAGGAGUCCAGUGAUGAGGAUAACUCUAUUGAGAAUGGAUUGGAUGAUGUUGAAGGCGUCGUCUACGCCAACAAAGGCAACCACCAAACACACACAAGCAAUCAUCUCAACCCCAACCCACAAUCGAAAAACACUUGGUCAGAAGAACAUCAGAACCACGAAAACCACGGACCCAUCUUAAUACAACCAGCUUUUAAAAAACAAGAGAAAUCAUACACCAGCGAAGACUUACAAGAAAACGAAUCUUCGUACGUUGCUGAGAAGUUAGAAAGUCAUGAAGGUCCGAAGGCUAUGGCUUUAGUGGUUGAAGGGAAUUCGACAAAAGACGGUGUUAAGAAGAAGUUGGUGUAUAAGACUUUGAGUGGUAUUAGGCUGAAGAGACCGAUUCGGUUGCAAAUGUGGCUCGAUAUUAAUAGGGAUACUUUCGGGUCUAGGACUAACCCGCAGUGCGUACAUUGGUCUACGUUGAGAGGAUCCGGCGAAUGGUCUCGCGUGGGAUGUCACACAGAGAUCGACUAUGAUUGGUCGCCGUACUCCAACGAGCCGCUUCUCAUCAACUGCACUUGCAAUCAUCUCUCCACCUUCGCUGUAUUGGUUGACGAAGUCGAUAUCGAGUUCAUCCCAGAACCUUCACUAUUAGAAUCAGUAACAUCAUACACAGCAUUCAGUAUCUCUCUCCCACUGCUGCUGAUCACAUGGGCGGCGCUCUGCCUCAUGCGGGGCGGGGCCGCGACCGUGUCCAACUCUAUACAUAAACAUCUUAUAUUCUGUGUGUUUAUGGCCGAGUUGUUGUAUUUGAUUGCGUUGAAGGCGAGGUCUACGUUGGUUCAGAAUGAGUUCGCCUGCAAGUUAGUAGCCAUGUCCCUGCACUACUGGUGGGUGUGCGCGCUGGCGUGGUGCGCGUGUGACGGCUGGCAGCUGCGGCGGCUGCUGCGCGAGCUGCGCGACGUCAACCACGCGGGGCUGGCCGCGCAGCUCGCCGCCGCCUACGCCGCGCCCGCCGUCGUACUGGCGCUGGCGGCCAGCCAUCACCAGCACCAGUAUGGGAAUGCGCUCUUUUGCUGGGUAUCGUGUCACGAGCCUGUAGUGUGGUGGGUGGUGGUCCCGGCGGCGGUGUACGCGGGAGCCGCGCUCGUGUUCCUGGCGGGCGCCACGCGAGCUGCCUUCACUGUCAGGGACCACGUCAUAGGGUUUGGGAACCUUAGGAUGUUGCUAGGCGUGAGCGUGGUGUGCCUCCCUCUGGUGGUAGUAUCGUGGGCGAGCGCGCUGCUGCUGGGCAGCGAGGCGGGGUCGCGGCGGGACGCGCUCAGUGCCGCGCUGGCCGCCGCCGUGGCCGCACACGCCGCAGCCGCCUGUCUCGGGUACACCGCCUUUAAUGUGCGCGUGCGAGAUAAUCUUACCAGGACGGUUCUAAGAUGUCUCGGCAAGAAAGUUCCUCUAGUCGAUACCUCAGUAAUCAUCAGCAGCAGUGCUCAAAACCUAUCACAAGUCAACAGGUCUGCCCUGGCUUAUCAUAGCAGUACGGAACCAGGGCGUCAAUUGAGGAACAUAGGAAUUUCAGCAUCGUCUACUACAUCUAGAUCUACUACUAAAACUAGUUCCAGUCCUUACAGUCGCAGUGAUGGGCAACUUCGUCACACGAGUACAUCUACAUCAAACUACAACACUAGCGCAAGUGAUAUGCCAGCGUAUCUCAGAGGGUUCGACUCAUCCCUGCAUACGAGGAAAGAUGACGAAGGUCGUCGCCGUCGUAAAGCGGCUACUGAUGGCGAGACCACAUUAGAGACCGGCGAGGAGGCGACGGAGGCCACCGACAGUGACAGCGAUGGGAGCGCGCGCAGCCUCGACCUGGCCUCCAGCCACUCGUCUGAUGACGAUGAGACCAGUACUAGGCGGUCUAGUCAUCCGCCGUCGGCGAAUAGAGACCGAGCAACGAGUGGCAGUAACACAAGCUACUUGCCUAACAUCACUGAAGGCGCACCAUUAGCUAUGCAGCCAAGAUGGCCGUCACAUAUAAGAGAGGAUCCGACCCGCCAAGAAAUGGGUCGCUGGUCCCAAGAGACUGGGUCAGACAACGAGGUGAACACAGGCAUGGCCUCACCCUCCCCCAACCCGCUGCCCAACCCGGAUCUGACGUCCGACGUGUACCAGCUGAGCAGGCAUCGGAUGAAGCCGUCCAUACUGGAGAAUGUACACGAUACUUAUGUGGCCAGUGUGGAUGCGUCCAGGUUGCCUCUUGAUAACAGAUACGGAGUAAUGGACGACGAACUAAUGUACGGAGUUCUACCAAAUGACACCGAAAAACAAAUACCUUACGACCCCAACUAUCCAAUCUCGCCUACCAUGUACCGACUGCCCGGCAACCCAUAUGGGUCCAAAACGUACCUACCAACAAGAACAUCAGACUAUGGGUACAGUCCAACAAAGUACUUGAACGCGGACACAAAUCUCUAUGGGUCCAGGGACUUUAGAGACUCUGGCGUCUCUACUAGGGACCACGAUGGUUACCCCCCGAGAGAUUUUAGAGAUUCAGGGAUUGCGACGAUGUUGAAAAAUGAUUAUCAGAGGAAAAUGGACAGCCAUUAUGCAGGAGACUAUAAUGAUAGGAUGUCCGAAGGAUCGGAUAAGCAUCAUACACAUGAUAAAUAUUUAUUCCCUUAUACAGCUGAGGAAGACCACGCUCACUUGCGUGGGAUCAACCAGUCACCGCAAGUCCGUAGUAGUGAGGCACAUCCAGGCGAAUCGCAACAGCACCAAGGAGCGCCUCUAGCGAGUAUGGGAGAAACUAGCGAAUGGUGGCGGUUGUAUGAGAAACACUCAUUGUAAUCAUCUUUUGCUUUGCUAACCGGUGGUGUUGCCGACCGCAAAAUCAUCUUCAACCAUUUUAGGGAGGAGGAAAUCUACUACUGAAGACGACGCAGAGACGAGAGUGUGACAACGCUGAAUAGUACAAGAUUUCCAAUGAAUCUCAAUUAGUUAUUAAUUAAACUUUAAAUUUCUUAGUAAUUUUACAAUUAAUUAGCGUUAAUUUACGCGAAGACUGUUUUUCAAUCAGUACCCACUGCCAUAGUGUAGAAUAACAAGUAUUUAUUUUAAAUUUUUGUCUAUGCUUUAAGUAGUAGCUAUAGUGGAACUGAUUUAGA